UAAAAACUUGUAGUUUGUUCCUCAUGUCUCUAUGCAGAACUGCUGCAGUGAGUGGUGGAAAACAAACAGAGUACCAACUGUGUUUAAUGGGUGGUGAAGGGCUUGUCUGAUUAGAUUAGGGCUUCAGCUGGCUUUUAUACCCUUUUAUGCAAUGAGAAUUCCUAACACCAUGUUUUAAAACCCGAUUUUUAGUAUGUUAUAUGCUAGUGUUUUAUAUGCUGUGAUUUCUUUUGUAGGGAAUGUUUCUGAAAGUCAUUACCCAGCAACCUCUGUGUAGUGCAGAUGUGCUAGUCAAUGCUGCCAUCAUAAAGUUUUAAAGGUUUGUCACAUUGUGUGCUUUCAUAUUAAAAAAAAACAUUACCUUUGAUAGGUAUUAAAAAAUAUGUUCAAAGCAUGCAUUUAUAUUUGGCAGGCCACAUGUAGUUCUCUUCCUCUUGGUGAAGUGAAGACUCAGCUACAGAGAGAUAGGGCUUUUUGUUCUGCUUCUUUAUUUUUCAUUUUGUGUGUGUGUGUCUGAACACUGUAGCUAAGGAUUUGAAAUGGCUACUUUGGUCUUAUUACAGAAACAAGUGAGACCAAGGGCUGUGACCUGAACAUUAAUUAAUGUAUUACAAAAGAUGAGUAGUUUUCCCAUAUGAAACAUACCAGUGCAAUAAAUAAAAGGUAAUUAAUUCUGGAUGGCAGCAUUUUACAGCAAUUAAUGGAGAGGAAAUACAGGCUACGUGAAGUAAUGUAUGGUUAUGCAGUGCUGCUCUCUGUCAGAGUAAGGGCAGCAUUAUUCUGCAGCCUACUAACCAUUCUGCUCUCUGUAAUUACCUGUUAAGACUACACCUUUUAAUAUUUGAAUGCAAAUGGACAUGCAGAAAUGUGGUAAAUAGCAAAGUCUUGAUGUAGGGCUCAGACAGUGCAGCCUGGUCACAAACAAUGCUGUGUAAUCAGCUGCAGGAAAUGUUUUCUCUUAUGAUAGUGUGUAAUGGCUUGAACUGUCAGGAAGGGCAAAACAUUAAGGCUCUAGGAAUGAAAAGUUCUCAUGCAGAUUGUGUGGCAUCUGCUGUCAUCAGCUAAUUGUCCAUCAGCUGCUGUGCACCUGGAGAAACAAAGGCAUUAGACUAUUACCACUAGACUAUGGAGAAUUGUGGGAGGUGGCUCUCUUGGCCACACAGACACUCCUGAGUUACUUUUGGAACUUAGGAAAACAUUGGUGUGCUGCUCUCUGCAUUUUCUGCAGCCACCAAACUCGGAUGCUCCUACCUCUGUAGCCUCUUGCAAAAGGUCCAGGCUCUUCCAACAUGAUUGGGUUUAGUUUGGAGGAAGCCAGACGGUGUUCUUUUUGAUGGAAUUUACUGUGAAAUUGGGAAUUCCUCCUGGUUUUUGUUAUGUUCAAGAGAACUCUGUCUAAGCUGGUAGUUCAGCUUUGGAAUUGUGUUCCAUCGAUGUCAGCUGUAGUUUACAAGUAAGCUCUAGUAUUUAUACCAGCAAUAUUUUUUAAAAAGAAGACAUACUGAAAAUAGCUGUAAAUAUAUUCCUCAUUCAGCUGUAGGUGUCGGUAGGGACUGAAAAUUUACCGUUCUGGCAAUGGCAAUUGUUCAAACUAGAUUUACUUUACAGGUACACUUGGCUGAAUGGUGUGGAUGAAGCUUUAUGUGCUCAUGUCUGUUUAGUGUCUCUGAAUUAAAAUGUCACUUUAUGUAACUGUGGCAGCCAGGGAGACCUUCCUUGGUGUAAACAACUGAAGUGAAGGAAUCCUCUAAGCAAGAUUCCAUGGUACAGUGUGUAUGUAUAUACAGUCCUUCUUUUCGUUUUACUUAAGAGACAAAAGCUACAUUGACCUGUUUUUGAAGGACAUUGUAAGUGCAGGUUUGAAGUAAUGCAGUUGUGUAUGUGGUGUGAGCAUCUGACCUGGAAUGGGGCUACUGGAGAAGAAAUAACAUUUGCUUUGUGUCUGGUCUGUGUUGAGUAUUUCUGUGGAGCCAAGAAAGCAUUUAAGGAGACUAAUGAGCCUGAAUGUAUGGAUUUAGCUUUUGCUCCCCCAAUACCUUAUGGACUCUCUUGCUUACCUACAGAGAGUCAUUCAAGUUACCUUCUUUUGUCUGUGUGCUCAGUCAACUUGAAGCAGGAGUGUGGCUGAACAAAAUGAGAAUCCUGUAACUUCUUUCAGAAAAACGAGAGGAAACAACUUGUCUGCUUCAACGCUGCUGGGAUUAACUGUUUUUUUCCAAGACAAAUGCUAAAAAAUUCUGACGUUAAAAAAAAGGUUCCUUGCACUCUGCUUGUCCAGGAGAAGUGCUGUAUAGACUGUACAUCUUUUGAAGGACCCUGAUUUUGUCCAAGUAUAAUAUUUAGAGAGCAGUUACACAGUCUGUCUUUACUUUUAAUUUUAAAAAAAAAAAAAUUUUUUUUUUUUGUAGGAUUGACUGGAGUGCUGCUGCUUAGGAGCUGUAUUUCCUGCGCUUUUCAUCAAGAUCUGGUUAAGAAUUAAGAGUUGGACUUUGAAGUAUUUGAGCAACUUGCUACGGCCCAAGUCAUGACGCUCCCAUUUCGAAAGGACUUGGACAAGUACAAAGAUCUCGAUGAGGAUGAAAUUCUUGGCAAACUUUCAGAAGAAGAACUGAAACAACUGGAAAAUGUUUUGGAUGAUCUUGAUCCUGAGAAUGCUCUCCUGCCCGCAGGCUUCCGGCAGAAGGACCAGACUGCAAAGAAGGCCUCAGGUCCCUUCGACCGGGAGCGGCUCCUGGCGUACUUGGAGAAGCAGGCGCUCGAGCACAAAGACAGGGAGGACUAUGUGCCUUUUACAAGAGAAAAGAAAGGGAAAAUAUUUAUCCCCAAGCAAAAACCUGUACAGUCUUUUGCAGAAGAAAAAUUCUCUCUUGAUCCAGAACUGGAGGAAGCCUUGACCAGUGCCACAGACACAGAAUUAGGUGACCUUGCAGCUAUACUGGGAAUGUCCAACUUGAUAACAAACAAUCAGUUCUGUGAUGUAGUAGGAAGCAGUAAUGGGAUUGACAAAGACAGCUUCUCAAAUAUAGUAAAAGGUGAAAAAAUGUUGCCUGUUUUUGAUGAACCACCAAAUCCCACAAAUGUGGAGGAGACGCUGCAAAGGAUUAAAGAUAAUGAUUCUCGUCUUGUUGAAGUUAAUUUAAAUAACAUUAAGAACAUACCAAUUCCAACGCUGAAAGAAUUUGCAAAAGCCUUAGAAACCAACACACAUGUGAAGAAUUUUAGCCUGGCAGCCACCCGAAGCAAUGAUCCUGUUGCUGUUGCUCUUGCAGAAAUGUUGAGAGUAAACACAAAAUUGAAAAGUUUAAACAUAGAAUCAAACUUCAUCACUGGAGUUGGAAUUCUGGCACUAGUUGAUGCACUGAAAGACAAUGAAACGUUGACAGAGAUCAAAAUUGAUAAUCAGAGGCAGCAGCUGGGCACACUUGCAGAAGUAGAAAUUGCCAAAAUGCUUGAAGAAAACACCAAGAUCCUCAAAUUCGGAUACCAUUUCACACAACAGGGACCUCGAGCCAGGGCAGCUGCAGCUAUCACAAAAAAUAAUGAUUUGGUCAGGAGUAUGUGAGUAAAAGUUUCUGCAAAUACCUUUUCAUCUCUCCAGCCGUGAAGCUACAGAGACAGGUCACUCUGAAUACCCAGCUGGGUAUUCAGCACUGAAACUCAGAUGUUCCAAGUCUCUCAUCUCUGUCUUUUUCGCAAGAGAAGGGUCGAAGGAGACAAUUAGCAAUCCUGCUGUCAAAACCCGGUGGAGUCAUCACGGUCAGCACCGUGGGCUUUGGCAAUCUGGGACUACAUUGACCUGGCUUAGAAGGGAAAAGACUGGAAACCCCAUUCCUUUAAAAGCAAAGCUAUAUAAUCUGCUGGUAUGCAUCACGUUUUUCAUGGAGACACAGUAACUGCACCAGUCUCUGUACCAUGGUUUUUGACUGGGUUUUUUUUUUUAAGAACUUUUUUUGUAUUUCAAGACUUCGGCUGAGCUUUCUACUUAAAAUAUAAUUGCAAAUCAAUAGUAUAAUUGUCUGUAGUCAAAGAAUGGGACAUUUAAGGUCAUUGAGAAGAUAAUGACCCAAUUAAAAUGUUUGUUAGAAAAUCCGGGGGUGCUUAUUUACGUGGAGGGGUGUGUCUAUUCCUGAAAACAAUGGGUUAGUGAUAAGGGAUUCUUCACCCAACAGCUGGACUCACUGUGUAGAGCUGUUCAGCUUUGUUCAUAUGCACUGAAGAGAAAUCUUUCACAGCAAUGUUAUUUGUAAUUCUACUGUUUUAUUUUUUAUUCGUUCUUGAUACUGUGAGUAAGUUUAAAGACAUCCCUUUAAGGCAAACCAAAAUAAAUGGGCUAAGGACUUCUCCCAAGAGAUUAGAGGGACUCAUACAAAAGACUUGCAAAAAAAAAAAAUUAGGAGCCUUGCAAAAUGACAGGUUUUUUUAUUACACCUAAAUCCUUUAAGUAUUUUUCAGAAGUGUGUCUUGCUCUGUAUCUAAACUGGAUAUAUUUUUAGACUGAUUUCAUGUGUUCAUCAACAUUAUUUAGUUUAUAUUCUUUGUUUAAAAAUCUUUAUCUACAUUCACAAGUAUCAAUUUCUCUAGAAGUAGUGGACAUGCAUAUUUUAAAUUCUGCAUAACUGUACAGGAGGAGCAACCUUAAGUGUAAAACCACUGACCUAAAUUGCUGGCAAAUGAAAAAUCCUUUAUUUGAAGCUGUUGUAUUAAGCUAUUUGUACUUCAUAUAAAUCUAUCAUUUUUUAAUACUGAAGUAACACUUUUGAGAAAGGAUUUUUCUAUUUUACUUAUGUCUCGAUGUUGGAACACUACCUAAGACAUGCAAAAAUUAAUCAAUCUGUAGUGUCAGAUCUGUAUGAUGUAGUAAUUAUUAAAGUAUUUAAAGUUGUUUAAGCGAACUAAUAAGGCAACAAGAAUCACUUCAACUUCUGCACAUAAUCACAAUACACUUCUUUGAAAUAAUAUAAAAACCUAGAGGCUUUUUGGUUAGGUCUGCUUGGACUGUCCUGUACUAGUUUGCUUUGAGGUCACAAAAAUGUUCUAAAGGACUGCUUGGCUAUAUUUAUAGCAACAGAGAAUUCAACUGACAAUUCUUUUCAUUCAGAGAUCUUAAUGUGGUGAGCUUUUAUGUAUAGAAAAUGUAUUUACGUGGAGGGGACUGAGAUGUUUGCAUCAGUUUGUAUAUACCAUAAGAACCUAACAGAGCAAGUCUCUGACACUGUGCCCACAUUGUAAUUUGCUGCAAAUCUUGUUUUGGAACUUUAAAGACAGACUUUAUUCCAGAGGUGACUUCGAAUUUUACUGCAACAGUGAAUAUUAAACUAUAGUGCCUUCAAUGAGGAUGUAUAUAAUUGGUUUAUACGUGUGGAAGAACUUUUUUUUUCCUAUUUCAAAAUCAGCCUUUUAUUAGAAUUACAAAUAAAUAUGUGCUCUUCAAAACAACUUGGAAUUAAUUCUCUUAAAACCAAAGACUAUACUUACUAUAACCUUGAAAAAACUAGGAGUGAUCUGAUGAGUAACAAAAAGGGCUUCUUUUGGGUUUAGCUUUCGUAAAUUUCUGAGAACUUUAUAGAUUUUGUAAUUUAAGUUCCUAUACAGUGUGCAUAAAGUCACAUUUAAGUGUCUUUUUUUACAGGUAGUGCUGUAUAAAGAUGGCCAAAGCAUGUCAUGUGCUGAGUUGCCUAAAGCUGUACUUUACUUUUUAUUUGCUAUGCACCAUAAUCAUUUUGUGUCAAAAAACAGGCUGUGAUGUCUUCCUUCAUUUGUUGAAGGGCUGCCAUAUUCAGAGAAUCUGUUCACGUAUUGUGAUUCUAUGAUGACUUAUUUUAUCAUUAUCUAACAAGAUUAGACAGUUAUCUCCUACUUGAAAAUUAAGGACAAAAUUGAAAGGCUGGAUUAUGGAAAUGAUAGCCCAAAUCCCUUCCUUACUUUUGUUAAAUCAAGUUCAGCUGUUUAAUUAUUUACAUCCUAAUCAAAGGCAGGGGCUUUUAAGAUGCAGGUGUCCUGUCACCGGCGAUAGUAGUGGACCUUAAUAAUUGGUUUAGCUCUGUAGACAGCAGGUAAGAAUUUGACUUUGUCAGCACUUUAAGGACAGGUAUCUGACAGACUGGGCAUAGAAAACUUUGUUGUUUUGGUAUGGUGCAUGGAACAAAUAACAACAAUCACUUUUGUGCCUGCAAUGUGUAUCCUGUUUGGAAUAAAUGAGGGAAUUCAGUCUGUAGCCAGGAAUCAUAAACGGUCUCAACAAGUCAAGUGGACGCUCUGAUGUCGUGCUGUAGGUGUGGUGAGAUCCUGUGUAUGACUUCAUUGAUUCUGAGUGAGAGAGUGGUAUUGCUUUGAUAACCACUUACCAGAGACACAAGGUCUUUUUUCUAAGAGAUGAUUUUUUUUUCAUAUGGAUUGUUUUUCAGCCUAAAUGAAGAAGUCAAAUGACUGCAUAUAUUGAUUCUGUUGGUUCCCAGCUAAGCAUGGAAACAUAGCCUAUAAUUCAAAGCAAUUAUCUAUUACUGUUGUAUUUUAAAGAAAUAGCCUCAUUCUCUCUACAGCUUGAGUAAUCUUGUGUUUGUAAGCUACAAACAAGCAAGUGUUCAAUUUAAAUUUCCAUUGAGGAAACAUGCAUUGAGUUUUUUAGCCUAUCAGCACUAUAUGCUGUCAGAUUGUAAACCAGUAAACGCUGUGGAUGAUUAAAGUACUGUAUUCUUGUUGUGGUUU